rnacentral:rRNA from 1 species
UACGGAGGGUGCGAGCGUUGUCCGGAAUCAUUGGGCGUAAAGGGCGCGUAGGCGGCUCGGCACGUCCGUUGUGAAAUCGCCCGGCUCAACUGGUCGGGGUCGGCGGAUACGGCCGAGCUGGAGCAAGCUAGGGGGUAAUGGAAUUCCCGGUGUAGUGGUGGAAUGCGUAGAUAUCGGGAGGAACACCAGUGGCGAAGGCGGUUACCUGGAGCUUUGCUGACGCUGAUGCGCGAAAGCGUGGGGAGCGAUCCGG